AAGGUUUUGUUUGACUCUGUUGAGAACUGCAGCUAAAUGUACUGAAGUUACUUAAUCAAACUCAUUGGUGCCUCUGGGUGUGCACUGAAAAGAAUGCAAGAAGAGUCUACCAAUAUGGCUGAU
rnacentral:lncRNA from 1 species